ensembl:lncRNA
AGGCAUGGAAAGCCAAGACACUGUGGCAAAAAAAUGGGAUGGGAGAGGGAGUGGGAGAUUGGAUGGUUGCGGGUGGGAGAGUGGUUAUGGGGGGAAAAAGCUGUUAUAAUCCAAAAGUUGUACUUUGGAAAUUUAUAUUUAUUAAAUAAAAGUUAAAAAAAACUUGUUCUCAAACAUUUUUUUUUUAUUUUUUAUGUGUUUGUGUGUGUGCAAAUUGUUGAAAUCUUUACUUAGUAUAGAGUUUGGUUCUGUUUAUAAAGUUCAUUGAAAAUGAAUCUUAAUGGAGAAUGAGACUGGGAUGGGAGAGGGAGGAGGUGGUGGGGUGGGAGUGGGGGUGGGAGGGCUGGAAGAAUCACUAAACUCCUAAAGUUGUAGUUAUGAAAUUUAUACUCAUUAAAUAAAAGGUUUCUCUGGGAAAAAAAAAAUAAAAAAGGCAGGCAGUGGGCUAGAUUUGGGCCCGUGAGCUAUGGUUCAUAGACCUCUGGUCUAAGAGGUUAUUGGAGUACAUUUGUUUUUCUGGGCAAAGGUCAGUCAGUUGUAGACAAGAAGCUGUCAUUUCAUGAUUUCAGCUCUCAUGAAUCAGUCUUCAGAACUGUAUCUUUAAAAGCAGAAUCCAGAAUUAGGAUGAGCAAUGAAGAGAAUUUCAACGGCUUCAUUUUAAAAUGCAGCUUCUAAGUGGGAUAUGCACCUCAUGAAAAACGAUGUCCCAUGCAAGGACUCUUCAGAAAGCUUGCAGCAAAAUGGAAUUAAAAGAGGCCUGGCCAAUGCUAAAGCCAAGUGCAACGGCUUCCUUUCUUCUGUGCACUGGGGAAAGACAUGUGCAUAGAGACGUUCCAUACUGUACCAAAGCUUCAACAAAGUGAAAAAAAAACAAACAAACAGAAAACAUCAGUCUUGAUGGAUUUGCAGAUUGAGCAUUUUAAUCUUUAAAGUGCCAUGCAGGCAAGAAUUAAUCUCUGGUGGAAUUUUUCCAUUUUGUCGAUGGAGGAGAUGGUGGAGGAGAUGUAGAUAGAUUGCCUGGGACUCCAGAGUGGAAUAUUUUCCGAGCUGGGAUUUGGUGAGUAAUCUCAGCCCUAGAAAUCCUGACACAGCGUUAGAAUUUCAGCCGGCUCCUGCCUUACAGAGAGCCUCUUGCUCCAAAUUUGUGAGGAUGUGAGUUUGUAUGGUGGUGGGGGAAGAGGAUGAGGGACUGCUAAUGAAUAGAGUAAAAGUGAUGUGGUUCACUUGAAAAGAAAACAAAACAACCAGCACCCAGACAAGAAAUUGCUGACAGCAUUGGAUAUAACAGAGUUUUGGGCAAUUAUUUUCUGCCUUUGGGGUAUGGUGCUCCCAUCUAUAAGAACAGGAACAAAGACAGAAGUAUGUGCUGAGCUACUGUGCUUUGCUAUAAAGGACUGAAAGGGAGUUAGGUGGCUUCCUGUGGUCACUGACGUAGACAAAGGAGACUGGGAGAGAUGUCGGGACUUGCCGCAGAGCCUGUAACUAAGAAGCACAGGAGUGUAUUGUGUCAUGCGUAGCAGCCUCAAGAGAGAGGGCAGGACUGGCUGACCCUGUGGGACCUGGAUGGCUCUCAUGUCACAGGAUCCCAUGAGAGGGGGCAGUUCGGCGAGUCUGAGUGGAUGACCAGAUAUGAUUAAAGAGCAGAUCCUCUCUCUGUGAGGGAGACCCCAGUGGAAAGACGGGGCCAUCAAAGAAGGAUGCACUUUUCUCUGAAGGGAGGAGAGAACUUCCUCUUUGCUUAUGGCCCUGUCUAAAUACUGACAGAGUUUGUGCAUUCAAAAGGCUUCCAUAGCCUUGGCAGCUCACGUCAAGAGCCUCAGGUGAUCACUGAUGUCAUACAUAAGAGUGUUACUUGCUAAGUUAACAACAGAAGUCACUGUGCACUAACUCCCCAUGCAGGACCCGUGUCCUCA